UACGAGGGGGGCAAGCGUUGUUCGGAAUUACUGGGCGUAAAGCGCACGCAGGCGGUCUAUCAAGUCAGAGGUGAAAUCCCGGAGCUUAACUUCGGAACUGCCUUUGAUACUGGCAAUCUAGAGUCCGGAAGAGGUUAGUGGAAUUCCCAGUGUAGAGGUGAAAUUCGUAGAUAUUGGGAAGAACACCAGUGGCGAAGGCGGCUAACUGGUCCGGUACUGACGCUGAGGUGCGAAAGCGUGGGGAGCAAACAGG
rnacentral:rRNA from 1 species